UUACACAUGCAAGUCGAACGAUGAACCGCUUUCGGGCGGGGAUUAGUGGCGAACGGGUGAGUAACACGUGGGCAAUCUGCCCUGCACUCUGGGACAAGCCCUGGAAACGGGGUCUAAUACCGGAUAUGACUGUCCGCCGCAUGGUGGAUGGUGUAAAGCUCCGGCGGUGCAGGAUGAGCCCGCGGCCUAUCAGCUUGUUGGUGAGGUAGUGGCUCACCAAGGCGACGACGGGUAGCCGGCCUGAGAGGGCGACCGGCCACACUGGGACUGAGACACGGCCCAGACUCCUACGGGAGGCAGCAGUGGGGAAUAUUGCACAAUGGGCGAAAGCCUGAUGCAGCGACGCCGCGUGAGGGAUGACGGCCUUCGGGUUGUAAACCUCUUUCAGCAGGGAAGAAGCGAGAGUGACGGUACCUGCAGAAGAAGCGCCGGCUAACUACGUGCCAGCAGCCGCGGUAAUACGUAGGGCGCAAGCGUUGUCCGGAAUUAUUGGGCGUAAAGAGCUCGUAGGCGGCUUGUCACGUCGGUUGUGAAAGCCCGGGGCUUAACCCCGGGUCUGCAGUCGAUACGGGCAGGCUAGAGUUCGGUAGGGGAGAUCGGAAUUCCUGGUGUAGCGGUGAAAUGCGCAGAUAUCAGGAGGAACACCGGUGGCGAAGGCGGAUCUCUGGGCCGAUACUGACGCUGAGGAGCGAAAGCGUGGGGAGCGAACAGGAUUAGAUACCCUGGUAGUCCACGCCGUAAACGGUGGGCACUAGGUGUGGGCAACAUUCCACGUUGUCCGUGCCGCAGCUAACGCAUUAAGUGCCCCGCCUGGGGAGUACGGCCGCAAGGCUAAAACUCAAAGGAAUUGACGGGGGCCCGC
rnacentral:rRNA from 1 species